rnacentral:tRNA from 4 species
GCCGACGUAGCUCAGUGGUAGAGCAACUGAUUCGUAAUCAGUAGGUCGUCAGUUCAAUCCUGACCGUCGGCACCA